rnacentral:ncRNA from 1 species
UGGCCCGCGACGUAAAGAACUCUCAAUGACUUGGGGAGGAAAAGACCUUUCCCAACCCCACCAACCUCCCGUCACCCGCAUGGGUGAACUCGGGCAACUGGGCUGGAUUUCGCACGGGUUGGCUGGCAUAUGCUCGCCGCGACAACUCCACAGCAGACAACGGCCCCCGGCCGGGACUGGCAUCCCGAACGAGGGCCUCACCAACAAGGAAGCAAACCCUUCCCG